rnacentral:rRNA from 1 species
GACGAACGCUGGCGGCGCGCUUUAUACAUGCAAGUCGAACGAGAAGCCAGAGCUUGCUCUGGUGGAAAGUGGCGAACGGGUGAGUAACACGUGAGAAACCUGCCCCAAAGACUGGGAUAAGCCGAGGAACUUGGUCUAAUACCGGAUACCUUCUUUUAUCACAUGUUAAAAAGAAGAAAUGCUCCGGCGCUUUGGGAUGGUCUCGCGACCUAUCAGCUUGUUAGUGAGGUAAAAGCUCACCAAGGCAUCGACGGGUAGCUGGUCUGAGAGGAUGUCCAGCCACAUUGGGACUGAGAUACGGCCCAAAACUCCUACGGGAGGCAGCAGUAGGGAAUCUUGCACAAUGAGGGAAACCUUGAUGCAGCGACGCCGCGUGCGGGACGAAGGCCCUAGGGUUGUGAACCGCUUUCAGUAGGGACGAAAGUGACGGUACCUACAGAAGAAGCCCCGGACCAACUAUGUGCCAGCAGCCGCGGU